GGACAAUACUGUGACUGCUUGUUUAAUCAGAGGUCCUGCUACACCAUGUGAAUUGAUUUUAAGUCUGGGCCAUUUCUAAAUGCCAGGUGGAGACGCAUCUGCUUGGAUGUUGGCCCCCCACCUCAAGCUCAACAAGACAGAGCAGCUCUUUUUCCAUGGGACGCUUUGUCUGCUCCUAGUAAGGUCCAACGUGGUUGACAACUGCACAGUGUCCCCCUUCCAAAGAACCUUGGCUUGACUCUAGACCUUCUAGUUCCCUGAAAACAUCAAAGCAGUGACUCGCCCUAUAACAUUUGUAGAGUAUGAGCUUUUCUCAUACAGGUAGCAGCACUGGUUCUAAUCCAAGAUCUUGUCAUAUGUUGUCUUGAUUACUGUAACUUACUAUUUGUAGGGCUGGAGGAACUGUUGGAGGAAUUACGUUUGUAUUUUUUGCAAGGCCAUGGUGCCCUUGGUAUCAAGGAGAGUAAGGAGAGCUUGCCCUUCAUACCUUCACGAUAUGUUCAAAAAGUAAUAACCUUUAAAUAAUGUUUGAUUACUCCAUAGAAAAUUUUUUAUGAAGUUAUAAGCAUCACAGCUUCCGUCUUUAGGAGC